CCUGCAGGAAAGGACAUCAACCGAGACUCCGCAAGUAGUGGCGAGCGAACGCGGACCAGGCCAGUGGCAAUGAGGAAUAAAGUGGAACGAUCUGGAAAGUUCGGCCGUAGCGGGUGAUAGCCCCGUACACGUAGAACACUCAUUGUCCUUGAGUAAGGCGGGACACGUGAAAUCCUGUCUGAACAUGGGGAGACCACUCUCCAAGCCUAAGUACUCGUGCAUGACCGAUAGCGAACAAGUACCGUGAGGGAAAGGUGAAAAGCACCCCGACAAGGGGAGUGAAAUAGAACCUGAAACCGGAUGCCUACAAACAGUCGGAGCCCGCAAGGGUGACGGCGUACCUUUUGUAUAAUGGGUCAACGACUUAGUGUGGCAUGCAAGCUUAAGCCGGUAGGUGGAGGCGUAGCGAAAGCGAGUCUGAACAGGGCGCUUUAGUAUGUCGCAUUAGACCCGAAACCGAGUGAUCUAGCCAUGAGCAGGUUGAAGGUUGGGUAACACCAACUGGAGGACCGAACCCGCAUCUGUUGCAAUAGAUUGGGAUGACUUGUGGCUAGGGGUGAAAGGCCAAUCAAACUCGGAAAUAGCUGGUUCUCCGCGAAAACUAUUUAGGUAGUGCGUCGACCGAAUACCCUCGGGGGUAGAGCACUGGAUGGGCUAUGGGGACUCACCGUCUUACUGAUCCUAACCAAACUCCGAAUACCGAGGAGUACUAGUCGGCAGACUCACGGCGGGUGCUAACGUCCGUCGUGAAAAGGGCAACAACCCUGACCUCCAGCUAAGGUCCCCAAGUCAUGGCUAAGUGGGAAAGGAUGUGAGGAUCCCAAAACAACCAGGAUGUUGGCUUAGAAGCAGCCAUCAUUUAAAGAAAGCGUAACAGCUCACUGGUCUAAAUAAGGGUCUUUGCGCCGAAAAUGUAACGGGGCUGAAGCCAUGCACCGAAGCUGAGGAUACGUCGUAAGACGUGUGGUAGCGGAGCGUUCCGUAAGCCAGUGAAGGGAUACCCGUGAGGGGUCCUGGAGGUAUCGGAAGUGCGAAUGUUGACAUGAGUAACGAUAAAGAGGGUGAGAGACCCUCUCGCCGAAAGACCAAGGGUUCCUGCUUAAAGUUAAUCUGAGCAGGGUUAGCCGGCCCCUAAGACGAGGCGGACACGCGUAGUCGAUGGGAACCACGUUAAUAUUCGUGGGCCUGGUGGUAGUGACGGAUUGCUCAACUUGUCCGGACUUAUUGGAUUGUCCGGGCGGGGACGCGGUUCCAGGAAAUAGCUCCACCGUAUAGACCGUACCCGAAACCGACACAGGUGGUCAGGUAGAGUAUACCAAGGCGCUUGAGAGAACUAUGUUGAAGGAACUCGGCAAAUUGCACGCGUAACUUCGGAAGAAGCGUGACCCUUUUCUACGCAAGUAGGAUGGGGUGGCACAGACCAGGGGGUAGCGACUGUUUAUCAAAAACACAGGGCUCUGCGAAGUCGCAAGACGACGUAUAGGGUCUGACGCCUGCCCGGUGCUGGAAGGUUAAGAGGAGGGGUGCAAGCUCUGAAUCGAAGCCCCAGUAAACGGCGGCCGUAACUAUAACGGUCCUAAGGUAGCGAAAUUCCUUGUCGGGUAAGUUCCGACCUGCACGAAUGGCGUAACGACUUCCCCGCUGUCUCCMACAUAGACUCAGUGAAAUUGAAUUCCCCGUGAAGAUGCGGGGUUCCUGCGGUCAGACGGAAAGACCCCGUGCACCUUUACUAUAGCUUUACACUGGCAUUCGUGUCGGCAUGUGUAGGAUAGGUGGUAGGCUUUGAAGCGGGGACGCC
rnacentral:rRNA from 1 species